AUAAAUUUAAAUUAAUGACUCAAGUUGUUGAUUUUUCCCUCCACUUUCUUGACAAACACAAUAUUAAACACGAUUAUUUAUUUUUGUGGGAGAGGGGUUCGGGGUUGUGAAGAGUCCAUUUACAGUAUAUGACAAGCAUCAUGCCUACUCAUAUGUCACACCCUAUUAGCUGCACUGAUUCUGAACUGGCACUGAUAAUCUGACCAAGAUUCACUUGGACAGUCCUAACCUGACCAACUGGAGCACGAAACCCCAGUAUGGACAGUCCUUACCCUGACCAAUCGGAGCGCAAAACCCCUAUGGACAGUCCUUAACCUGACCAAAGGCACAAAACCCAUAUGGCCAGUCCUUAACCUGAACAUGGGGGGUAAACCCCCAUGGACAGUCCUUAAAUUUAGAUAUAUUAUGUGUGACAUAUAUUGAGUCUAUGGGCCUGAAGUUGUGCAUUUUAUGGAGACUUCAUCCCCACAAAUACACAGAAUGUGUAUUCCCCAUAGACGAACCCUCCCCCCGAAACGUUGUUAGUUAUUUAGCGGUUACCACAUUUGUCAAAGUGGCUGAUACCCCAGAUAGAGUUGCAAGACAGCUGCUGCCAGAUGACAGUUAGACAUAUAUUUGAGCGUUACCAUCACUCAUACUAUAGCUGGAUAAUCAGGGAGGCCAGAAAAAACCUGGAAUAUACAGGAAACCUGGAUGGGGCCAAGACAACCAGCAGCUUCCCCACAAAGCUUCUAUCUUACAAUUUCUUAAUUGGAGGGUUGGUAACACGACAAACAAAGCUCACCAUCAAGGCACAUAAUUAUUUCUUUUAUUUAUUUAUUUAUUUAUUUUUUUUUUUUUAUGUAAAUGUGUUCAUUAAGACGUUUUGCACAUUUUUUUUUUUUUUGUUAACCACUCUUAUUUUAUUUCAAUUAUGAUUGGUGGAACUUUCCUGAGUUGUGUGACAUUACUCUCAGAAAAAUAGCUUGUUCAUUAGUUUAAUUCGAAAUAGCAGGGCAAAAAUGCAAUUCAGGUGCUUAUAACCGGUGUUGUGAUCGAACAUCCAAUCAUGCAUCCAUGAUAUUAGCAGAAAUUGUAAAAUAUGUAUUUGGUAGAUUAAAUAUAUCAUGCAGUUAAAUGAUAGUACAUCAACGGAUUUUCAAUUUUCAUGAGCGUAGGCAUGCAUGGUAAUGUUAGUGACGUACCAAUCUUUCAUGAUAUCCAUCUUGCCGACUUAUCGCAAAUGUAGAUAAAUAUAUAUGUGCAGAGUUUGAAAUCUUAAAUUUCGUUAACAAAUGAGCUUGCUUUCUUAUGUUUUGAACAGUAAAGUAUUGACAAUGUUGCAGGUCCAAUUAAUGUUAGGUUUUGUUAGUUGACCUGCAUCUAGGGACGCAAAGCCUCAUUAAUAUCAUUAACUCGACGAAAGACACGCAAAAUCACUGUUUCUUAUUGGCUGUCUUAACGCAAAAUAGCAAGAUUCGAUUGGCUGUUGCAUACAUUUCUUGUAUGCUAAAUAUGUUGUCCUGAGUUAUUCGCUUUGUAAUUUCCAUGGUCAUGAAAUAUAGGUAAUAGAUCAUUAAUAUAUGCAGAUAGUCAUUUUGACAGAUUAUGCUCGCAACCCACUGUUAAUCUGCCCAAUGGAAUUUGUCUUUAGUCUUUACUAUUAGUACAAAGAACAAUUUGUAUAGAUAGAAAACCUAUACUCGAGCUGCGUGCCAGUCAAAAUUGUACAUUUCGCAAAGCAUAUUGCUCUUGGAGGCAUGGCUCAAAUUGUUUGUUAUAGUGCGUUUGCAGUCUGUACUGUACUACAAAAGUUCACAUAUAAUUAAGUUAUGCUUAUAUGAACUAAGUCUAGUGACAUUAAAAAUAGGCCUACUAUAUAUCCCAACAGUAUAUCCAGUAUUGUGAGUUGCGGCAUUGUGAAAUGUACGCGUUAAACUUUUGUGGCUUAAACGAAACCGCAGUUAUAGCUUACUCGCCGCUUUGCCUUUAAUUAAGGCUUUGGCCUGAAAGGAGUGAACAAGUUAUGACAUUGAGAUGCAUAAGAGUUCGCUUGUAUAUCUAUUCGAUCAUUCUUUCAUUCUUUAGUAGACGGUUCUGUUCAUAUAUUCAUGCAAAUUCUACCAAAUUUGUUUCAUGCAACGUGUAAAGCGAAUGGAUUUUUUUUUUUUUUUAAUUUUUUUUUUUAAUGUUACUCUGUCGACAUCUCAGAGUAAAUUACGUUAUUUUGCAUGAACUCGUGCAUGUUAAGUGCCAAUUAGGAUGGGCUGUGUUGUGCCCUAUGAUUGGUCAAAGCACAGAACAGAGUCGUACAAGGUUUUCAAUUGGUUCACAGUGUGUUUCACGGUUUGUUCACGUGAAUGUGUGCUAACUGGCAGAAGAUGAUCUUUGACCUAUCUGUCAAGACCUUUGACCUAACUGUCAAAGAUUAGGUUGAUAUAAACCAUAUCUACCUCCUCA
rnacentral:lncRNA from 1 species